UCCCUGUGAAGAAACAUUCACAGUCUUACCUCCUGUCCUAGUCCCAGAACCUGUAAAGGUGACUCCACUGGGGCUGGCUGGGGGAGAAGAGGAAGGCUUGUUCCAGAAGGAACUGUCUGAGGGAA
ensembl:snoRNA SNORD22 Small nucleolar RNA SNORD22